CAUGGCCCCACUGAAGUCAACGAGAAACAGAUGGUGAGAAACAUUUCUGCUCUUCCACACCUAGGAUGCGGUUCUGCUCUGAGCAUCCAGCACCAGUGAGGCAAUCUGCUUUUCAUUUAUGGGCAGAGAAAAGCCACAGAGGAAGGAAUGAGGGAGGCCAUAGUUCUCAGAGUGUCGGAGGAGUUGAUGCAAUAAUAAUUCAAUUCCCCCUACUCUGAAAAGCAAGGCAGUCCAACCCGGCAGGAUGCCUGCAGCCAGGGCUGUAAACUCCAGCUCACCUCAGGCUACCUCCAGCUGAGCAAGCCCACACCAGAACCUGUGGGCCUGAACUCUUGCAGGGGAAGAGUUCAAACAGGGCCUUUUCCAGUUUGCAUCAUGUGGCAGAGCCCUGUAGCCAAUCAGCUGGAAGCGAGUUCCAGGUCUGGCGGCAUCUUUGCAGCCUCUCACCUGCCAGGAUUGCUCCCCCUGUGGUCUUCCUCUGCCUGCUUCCCAGGGCAGGGCUCCAUCCAGCGUCAUUUGAUGGAGCUUUCACAUGCCAUUCCCCAAUAAAAUAAAAUGCCCUGAAGUGACCCCGGCCCCCUGUACUCUUCCAUUCUCUGCCGGUUCCAUAGCAUCCAGC
rnacentral:lncRNA from 1 species